GAUGGCUACUUGCAUCUGUUCGCUUGUGCUUGGAAGCUAGUAGCAACAACACAAACUAAGCCUGCUACUCUUUAUUUUCCUUGUUUCUUGUUGCUAAACAUGGUGAGAGCAAUCAGACCGGGUCAAGUGCUCAACAUCAGUCCAAGCGGAAGAUGAAUAGUUAACAGAUUAUUCGGUUGAAUCUGGCUUAGCGAAUCAGCAAUCAAUAGCUAAGCUUAUUAUAUAACCGGCAACACGGUCCAGAGAUUAGUUGGAAGAGUCGGGGCAGAAGAGGAUCUUGAGCUCGCCGGGCUGGAUGCAGCGCUGCGGCGUGGCCUCCACGUCCGUCGGCGUCGUCCGAGUGUCCGGGCACCUCUCCUUGAAGAAGUGCCCCUGACCCUGGGCCCUGCACCCGCCGGCGGGGGCCCUGGCGUCGCGGGGGCAGUCCACGUCGAGGUCCACGGCGCAGCCGAGCGACGGGCACUGUUGGUGCUGGCCCUGCUCGAACCUGUGCGGCGUCACCAUCACCGGCAAGUUGAACCCGUCCACCAGGCUCACGCUGUACGCCGCCAGCCCGCCGGGUCCAUGCACGCUCACCUGCGUCACAGUCGCCGGCGCCGGCG
rnacentral:lncRNA from 1 species